rnacentral:rRNA from 1 species
GACGAACGCUGGCGGCGUGCCUAAUACAUGCAAGUAGAACGCUCAAGCGAGGAGCUUACUCUUCUUGGGUGAGCGGCGGACGGGUGAGUAACGCGUAGGUAACCUGCCUAGUAGAGGGGGAUAACUAUGGGAAACGAUAGCUAAUACCGCAUAACAAUGUAUGACACAUGGCAUUUAUGUGAAAGAGGCAAUUGCUGCACUACAUGGAGGACCUGCGUCGGCUUAGCUAGGUGGUGAGGUCAAGGGCCUACCAAGCGAAGAUGCAUAGCCCGCCCGAGAGGGUGGUCCGCCACCCUGGGACUGAGGCAACGCUCCGACUCCUUCGGGGGGCCACCGUAGGGGAUCUUCCCCCAUUGGGGCAACCCUUACCGAGGCACGGCGCGUGAAUGCAUGAGGUUCUCGGGUCGUAAAGCUCUGUUUUUUGUCAAGGACGGAAUGUGUAGUUAACAGUUCACACUGUGACGGUAGCUUACCAGAAAGCCACGGCUAACUACGUG